rnacentral:rRNA from 1 species
AUUGAACGCUGGCGGCAGGCCUAACACAUGCAAGUCGAACGGUAACAGGAAGAGGCUUGCUUCUUUGCUGACGAGUGGCGGACGGGUGAGUAAUGUCUGGGAAACUGCCUGAUGGAGGGGGAUAACUACUGGAAACGGUAGCUAAUACCGCAUAACGUCGCAAGACCAAAGAGGGGGACCUUCGGGCCUCUUGCCAUCGGAUGUGCCCAGAUGGGAUUAGCUAGUAGGUGGGGUAACGGCUCACCUAGGCGACGAUCCCUAGCUGGUCUGAGAGGAUGACCAGCCACACUGGAACUGAGACACGGUCCAGACUCCUACGGGAGGCAGCAGUGGGGAAUAUUGCACAAUGGGCGCAAGCCUGAUGCAGCCAUGCCGCGUGUAUGAAGAAGGCCUUCGGGUUGUAAAGUACUUUCAGCGGGGAGGAAGGGAGUAAAGUUAAUACCCUUGCUCAUUGACGUUACCCGCAGAAGAAGCACCGGCUAACUCCGUG